rnacentral:rRNA from 1 species
UACGUAGGGGCCGAGCGUUGUCCGGAGUUAUUGGGCGUAAAGCGCGCGCAGGCGGCUUCGCGCGCCCGACGUGAAAGCCCCCGGCUUAACCGGGGAGAGUCGUUGGGGACGGCGGAGCUUGAGGGCGGGAGAGGUCGGUGGAAUUCCCGGUGUAGUGGUGAAAUGCGUAGAGAUCGGGAGGAACACCUGUGGCGAAGGCGGCCGACUGGGCUGACCCUGACGCGUGAGGCGC